rnacentral:rRNA from 1 species
UAGGGAAUCUUCGGCAAUGGACGAAAGUCUGACCGAGCAACGCCGCGUGAGUGAAGAAGGUUUUCGGAUCGUAAAACUCUGUUGUUAGAGAAGAACAAGGACGUUAGUAACUGAACGUCCCCUGACGGUAUCUAACCAGAAAGCCACGGCUAACUACGUGCCAGCAGCCGCGGUAAUACGUAGGUGGCAAGCGUUGUCCGGAUUUAUUGGGCGUAAAGCGAGCGCAGGCGGUUUCUUAAGUCUGAUGUGAAAGCCCCCGGCUCAACCGGGGAGGGUCACUGGAAACUGGGAGACUUGAGUGCAGAAGAGGAGAGUGGAAUUCCAUGUGUAGCGGUGAAAUGCGUAGAUAUAUGGAGGAACACCAGUGGCGAAGGCGGCUCUCUGGUCUGUAACUGACGCUGAGGCUCGAAAGCGUGGGGAGCAAACAGG